GACCCAGUAGUGAAUAUAUCACGUCUGUUUGCAAAACAGGAGUAGUGCGAGAGCGCCUGGGUUU
rnacentral:tRNA from 1 species